CUCUGGCACCGGGCUCCGCGCUGCGCGCUGCACCCCGGGGAGGAGCCGAGUUCCCGAGCGGGCUCCGCGCUGUACCCCGGGAGGAGCCGGGCCCUCUGGAGCGGGGCUUCGCGCUGCACCCCGGGGAGGAGCCGGGGCUCCCGAGCGGAGCUGUGCAGCUCUGGCGGCGACUCGCCGAGGGGCUCCACUGCGAUGGAGCCAGGUGACCCGGGCGUGAGCCAGUGCAGCAGGGCGCGUGUCGGGGAGGGUGGGAGAGCACCGUGCCUGGCUCGGAAGGGAGGGAGAGGAAGGAAGCGUCGGGGAAGAACGGCACAGUUCGGCCUCCCGAGGGCCACUCGGGUUCCUGCGUGCUCCGCGCACUCGGCCAGCUCGGUCAACCCCGUCGGCUCUGCUGUGAUUGCCCCACUUUGCAGACCAAGAAAUCGAGGCCCGGGGUGUUCAGUAGGUCACUUAGGACACAGAGCUACGAAGCAGCAGCGGUGAGCUCCUGCUACCCGGGGAGCCUGUCCUUGUGGGGAAGAAAAGCAGGAGGAGGAAGGACUGAAGACAUCAAAAAGACUGCUUCUGAGGUCCUUUAGAAGUUCUUCAGUUCAAAUUAUUGAAGCCAAGGCACCAUAAUUUAGAAAAUCAUGUUCAGGGCCCCAGUAAUAGACUGCAGAGAAGGUCUGUCUGUAAACCUGGGUGGACCUAGAGAUGCUUUCUAGAAAACAGAGAACAAGAGAGUAAAGAGGCAAUGUGGGAGAAACCGAGUUGAGGUUAACAUCACCAAAAGUCCAACAAGGUGUUGGGCUGAGCUGAAAAUUAAACUAAUGUAAGACAUCAAUAAAAAACUAGUGAAGUUACAUUUGCAAAUACAGAAGACGAACACAGAAAGAAGCCUCCAAGUAAAACAGGGUAAGCCUGGAAAAAUUCUAUGACUUCUUCUACUCUUUGUUACUUGCUUCUUGCUCAAAUUUUGGAAGUCACCCAGCUGAGCAGUGUGUACUAAUAGUUUGCUGAAACAUCUAACAAUAGAAUCACAAUGGUAGUGGUCACUCUUUGUUUCCAAGGAAUGUGGAGAAGACACCAUCUAUUGAUCCUUCACUGGGCCUUCACAACUGUAUGAUGGUGCCCUCUGACACUAGAAUGUCAAAAGUUUCACACUUAGUGCAUGCUGAGCCCACCAUUAUCUGAAUGUUUGGCAAAUAAAAAUCUGAGUUUGAUGUAACAGGUGCAACCCCCAGUUAUUUCACUUUCCCUACUCCAGUGUGUUCCCAUGCCUCAGACUACUGGCUUCCUUAUCCUACAAAUGCCCCUCAACCAUAUACUCAGGAAGAAGGGUUUGACUAGGGGUUCGCACCACUCUGUGACUGGUGAAUAAUCCCUUUCUAUUCUACAGAACCUAUUGGUUCAAUGACAUCUUGCUCAAUUCAACAAAUAAAUUCACCUUUUGAUUUUUUUGAAAAUACAAAGAUUAUAAACUAAAAUAAUAUUUUAAUUGCCAAAAGUUUUUGUUAAUUAUUCAAAUAGAAAGUUACUUCCAUGAGUAAGUAAAGCUAGAGUAGUAAAGCCAAUGAAUAAGCCCACUCUAGACUCUACAUGUGAAUACAUGACAACCUACUACAGCUUCUGGGGUAGAAAGAAAAAUUUGAAAUUCAUGGUUAUGAGUAUGACUGUGUUCCUUGAAAUAAAUUUUUUUUUACCUUUAUCACAUGCAGUAAUUUUGUUGAAAAAAAAAUAUCCAAGUAGAUUUCACUUACCUCAAAGGGCCUAAGAUUUUCCAAUUUUACAUAUAUAUAUCCUAAAAUCCAAUAGUAUACAUUGGACAUUGAAAAAAUUCUUCAUGUAAUGAUGAGAUUGCUGGAUUUGAGAGUGCCAGAGAAAGGGAGAAAGCAGAUUUUAAAAUAACAUAAUGUUUUUAAAAUGUGGUGUUUGGAGAUCUUCAAGGCAUCUUUAAAAAGGUAUUCUGAGAACUUGUUACCAGGACUGAAAGAAGAUGGAUUAUGCAUUGUGAAAAAACAACAGAAAUUCUUUCAGGACAGCUACAAGCUUUACAGCUCCAUACUUUCCAGGGUCAUUUAUGACCAAACAUGUGUUAAAUGGAAUAUGUCUCUCUUGUUCUGACAAAGAAUGAUGAUUAGACUUAUCUGGAAAAUGGAAACACAGGUUGUUCCUCUCCCUAGUGGAACAAUAAUGUGAACCUGAAAAAUCAUGAGGAGACUUUAUCACUAAGUGCAGUAAGUACUGUUAGGAAGUAGUUGUUAAUGGGCAAAAAAAUGCAUAGCAAGGAUACAGGGUUGCUUGAAAUUACUCUUAAAGUUCUUCAAGUUACUGCCAAAACACUUUAAAGAAGAAAAUAUAU